CAGUAGCCGCGGGAAUACGAGGGGGGCAAGCGUUGUUCGGAAUUAUUGGGCGUAAAGGGUGCGUAGGCGGUUUGGCAAGUUUGGUGUGAAAUCUUCGGGCUCAACUCGAAGUCUGCAUCGAAAACUGCCGGGCUUGAGUAUGGGAGAGGUGAGUGGAAUUUCCGGUGUAGCGGUGAAAUGCGUAGAUAUCGGAAGGAACACCUGUGGCGAAAGCGGCUCACUGGACCAUAACUGACGCUGAUGCACGAAAGCUAGGGGAGCAAACAGGAUUAGAUACCCCCGUAGUCCCUGUCUCUUAUAC
rnacentral:rRNA from 1 species